rnacentral:rRNA from 1 species
UACGUAGGGUGCAAGCGUUGUCCGGAUUUAUUGGGCGUAAAGAGCUCGUAGGCGGUCUGUCGCGUCGGCUGUGAAAACUCGGGGCUCAACCCCGAGCCUGCAGUCGAUACGGGCAGACUAGAGUCCGGCAGGGGAGACUGGAAUUCCUGGUGUAGCGGUGAAAUGCGCAGAUAUCAGGAGGAACACCGGUGGCGAAGGCGGGUCUCUGGGCCGGAACUGACGCUGAGGAGCGAAAGCGUGGGGAGCGAACAGG